UACGGAGGGUGCAAGCGUUAUCCGGAUUCACUGGGUUUAAAGGGUGCGUAGGUGGGUUGGUAAGUCAGUGGUGAAAUCUCCGAGCUUAACUUGGAAACUGCCAUUGAUACUAUCAGUCUUGAAUACCGUGGAGGUCAGCGGAAUAUGUCAUGUAGCGGUGAAAUGCUUAGAUAUGACAUAGAACGCCAAUUGCGAAGGCAGCUGGCUACACGAAUAUUGACACUGAGGCACGAAAGCGUGGGGAUCAAACAGG
rnacentral:rRNA from 1 species